rnacentral:rRNA from 1 species
CAACGAAUAUUCCGCAAUGGGCGCAAGCCUGACGGAGCGACGCCGCGUGAAGGAUGAAGUCCCUCGGGAUGUAAACUUCAAUAGUUUGUCAGGAAGUAAGGCGACCUAAUACGUCGCCGAGUUGACCAGCAAACGAAAGGACGGCUAACUCCGUGCCAGCAGCCGCGGUAAGACGGAGGUCCCGAGCGUUGUUCGGAAUUACUGGGCUUAAAGCGCGUGUAGGCGGAGUGGUAAGUACCUUGUGAAAUCCCCGGUCUCAACCCGGGAACUGCUCGGUAUACUAUCAUUCUUGAGGCAGGUAGGGGUCACUGGAACCUUAGGUGGAGCGGUGAAAUGCGUAGAUAUCUAAGGGAACGCCUGUGGCGAAAGCGGGUGACUGGGCCUGUCCUGACGCUGAGA